AUCUAGUAGAAACUGAAGAAAUUGCUUGAAGAUGUGACUUCUCUUUUCAUAGGACUUAUAGUUGCAUUUCGUGGUAAUGGAAAAUAAAAUAAAAGAUGGCAAAGAAAAUGUAUUUAUUAUAAUGUGGCAUGUUACUAUUUGAAAAUAUAAACUACACUUCUAUAUUGUGACAUAUGAUUUUUCCUAGAGUAAGUCAAUCGUUUACUAUUUUGAUAAAAUUCAGGAUUUUGCCGUCUUAGGUUGCGGGUGAAUCAAAACAAUUUUAAUUCUUGUUUCAUCACUUUCUCCUCCCAGGUUCUGGCUACAUAACAGCAUAGAGUCAACUUCCCUUCAAGACAGAAGAAGAGAAAAUUUGGACCUACAAAGAGACACCAGGCACACAGUGGAAAGACCGCAUGAGGACACAGCAAGAAGGCAGCCAACUGCAAGUGAAGGAGAGAAGCCUCAGAAGAUACCAAAUCUGGUGACGUCUUAAUCUUGAAUUUGUAGGCUCCAGAAGUAGAAGAAUAUACACUUAUGUCUUUUAGGUCUCCCAGUUUGUGGUAUUUUGUUAUGACAUCUCUAGCAAACAAUUGUGAAAGGGGAAUCUAGGUGAAACACCACAGAAUUUAUUCCUGCCAGGUUUUUGCUGUGUUUUAAUCUACUUUA
rnacentral:lncRNA from 1 species